GACAGAGGGUGCUAGCGUUGUUCGGAAUGACUGGGCGUAAAGGGCGCGUAGGCGGGAAUAUUAGUCAGGCGUGAAAGCCCCGGGCUUAACCUGGGAACAGCGCAUGAAACGGUAUACCUAGAGGACGAGAGAGGAAAGCGGAAUUCCUAGUGUAGAGGUGAAAUUCGUAGAUAUUAGGAGGAACACCAGAGGCGAAGGCGGCUUUCUGGCUCGUAACUGACGCUGAGGCGCGAAAGCGUGGGGAGCAAACAGG
rnacentral:rRNA from 1 species